CGGGGAUAUCUUAUGCGCAGGCCCGAGUGCUAGAUGAUUCAGGCAGAGCACAAAGCGGUGAAGAGCGGUCUCUUUAGUCUCCUCAGCUUGGAUGGCAGGGUUAAAGCCUACAAAGAUUUAAUUGCAGCAUGUAUGCCUUACUGGCAAGCACUUGGGCAAUGCGGACCGGCUGGACCUGUUACACAAGAAGUGGAUGGAGGCAACUUGAAUAAAAAUACAUCUGCCUAUAUUGUAAAUAGUGAAAAGAAGUAUAAUGAUGAUUGCUCAGAAAUGA